rnacentral:rRNA from 1 species
UACAGACAGUGCAAACGUUAUUCAGCUUAAUUGGGCGUAAAGGGUAUCUAGGCGGAUCUUAAAAACUUUGGACGAAAAGCUAGAGCAUAAUUUUAGAGGGCAUCCUUUCAGAUUACAGAUCUUUGAGUUAACUAGACGUUUGGAGAAUCUCUGAUGUAGCGGUAAAAUUCGACGAUAUCGGACAGAAGUCCCUUGGCGAAAGCACCUUCUGAUAGUUAACUGACGCUCACGUACGAAAGUAUGGGUAUCAAACAGG